GAUGAAGAACGUAGCAAAAUGCGAUAAGUAAUGUGAAUUGCAGAAUUCAGUGAAUCAUCGAAUCUUUGAACGCACAUUGCGCCCGCUGGUAUUCCGGCGGGCAUGCCUGUUCGAGCGUCAUUUCAACCCUCAAGCCCCCCGGGUUUGGUGUUGGGGAUCGGCUCUGCCUCACGGCGGUGCCGCCCCCGAAAUACAUUGGCGGUCUCGCUGCAGCCUCCAUUGCGUAGUAGCUAACACCUCGCAACUGGAACGCGGCGCGGCCAUGCCGUAAAACCCCAACUUCUGAAUGUUGACCUCGGAUCAGGUAGGAAUACCCGCUGAACUUAAGCAUAUCAAUAAGCGGAGAA
rnacentral:misc_RNA from 1 species